rnacentral:lncRNA from 1 species
CGUGAUCGAAGAUCCCGUUGAGUACGAUUACGAGGAUCAAGGCAACUCUAAGAACUUUGUAGGCAAGAUGACCAUACCCUCGAAAUCACUUCUAUCUUUGCUUGCUAGAUGCUCGCUCUUUUGCUAUGCCUAUGCUGCGAUACCUACCACUUGCUUAUCAUGCAUCCCAUAUUGUUAAGCCGAGCCUCUAACCCACCUUGUCCUAGCAAACCGUUGUUUGGCUAUGUUAUCGCUUUGCUCAGCCCCUCUUAUAGCUUUGUCAGUUGCAGGUGAAGACUGGAGUUUGUUCCUUGUUGGAACGUGGAUAUUUUGUUGGGAUAUCACAAGAUCUCUUAUUUAAUUAAUGCAUCUAUAUACUUGGUAAAGGGUGGAAGGCUCGGCCUUAUGCCUGGUGUUUUGUUCCACUCUUGCCACCCUAGUUUCCGUCAUAUCGGUGUUAUGUUCCCGGAUUUUGCGUUCCUUACACGGUCGGGUUAUAAUGGGAACCCCUUGACAGUUUGCUUUGAAUAAAACUCCUCCAGCAAGGCCCAACCUUGAUUUUACCAUUUGCACUAACAACCUAUUACCCCUUCCCUUGGGUCGGCCAACCCAAGGGUCAUCUUUAUUUUAACCGCCCCCCCCCCCGGGCCAGUGCUUGUCUAAGUGUUGGUCCGAAAUGGGUAGCCUGCGGGGCCACCUCGGGGAAAAUUGAGGGCUGGUUUUACUCGUAGCUUGACCUAUCCGGUGUUGCCCUGAGAACGAGAUAUGUGUAGCUCCCAUCAGGAUGUCGGCGCAUCGGGCGGCUUUGCUGGACUUGUUUUACCAUUGUCGAGAUGUCUUGUAACCGGGAUGCCGAGUCUGAUCGGAUUGUCUUGGGAGAAGAAAUAUCCUUCGUUGACCGUGAGAGCUUGUGAUGGGCUAAGUUGGGACACCCCUGCAGCGAUUGAACUUUCGAAAGCCAUGCCCGCGGUUAUGGGCAGAUGGGAAUUUGUUAAUGUCCGGUUGUAGAAAACCUAAACCCUAACAUAAAUAAAACGCAUCAACCGCGUGUGUAGCCGUGAUGGUCUCUUCUCGGCGGGGUCCGGCAAGUGAACACGGUGUUGGAGUAAUGUUUGACAUAGGUUGUUCUAGGAUCACUUAUUGAUCAUAGUUCAUCGAUCAUGCUUUGCCUUAUCUUCUCGCUCUCUUUUGCGUAAGUUAGCCACCACAUAUGCUAGUCGCUUGCUGCAGCUCCACCUCAUAUCUUUUACCCUACCUAUAAGAUUAAAUAGUCUUGAUCGUGAGAUUGCUGAGUCCCCAUGACUCACAGAUACUUCCAAAACCAGUUUGCAGGUGCCGAUGUUACUGAGCAGGUGGCGCAACCAAGCUCAAGGAGGAGCUCGAUGAAGAUCUUGUCCUUUGUGUUGUUUCGUUCUAGUUGAUCAGUAGUGGAGCCCAGUUGGGGUCGAUCGGGGAUCUAUGUAGCAUUUUGGGUAGUCUUCGUUUUAUUUUGGUUUCAUAGUCGGACCUUGUUUGUAUCUGGAUGAUGUAAUGAUUUAUUCAUAUAUUGUGUGAAGUGGCGAUUGUAAGCCAACUAUGUAUCUUUCUCCCUUAUGUAUUACAUGGGUUGUGUGAAG